GGGAGUCCAGGCCGGCUGGGUGGGAAAGGGUUCGCCUGGGAGUCCAGGCCUGGCCGCUAUGUAUGGGGGUUCUCCUGGGAGUCCAGGCCUGGCUGCGGUGGGAAGGGGUUCGCCUGGGAGUCCAGGCCUGGCCGCUAUGUAUGGGGGUUCUCCUGGGAGUCCAGGCCAGGCUGCGGUGGGAAAGGGUUCGCCUGGGAGUCCAGGUCUGGCCGCUAUGUAUGGGGGUUCUCCUGGGAGUCCAGGCCAGGCUGCGGUGGGAAGGAUUUCUCCUGGGAGUCCAGGCCUGGCCGCUAUGUAUGGGGGUUCUCCUGGGAGUCCAGGCCAGGCUGCGGUGGGAAGGGGUUCUCCUGGGAGUCCAGGCCAGGCUGCGGUGGGAAGGGGUUCUCCUGGGAGUCCAGGCCAGGCUGUGGUGGGCGGGGCUUCUCCUGGGGGUCCUGGCAGGGCUGCAGGGGGUAAUAGUGAUUUCUUGUCCUUCAGCCUGGACAGCUGAAGCUCCUUUAUCUUGUCCUUCCAUAACUGCACCUUUUGCUGGAGUUUCAGGACCUUCAGGGCACUGGCUGAGUAAUCAGGGAAAAUCCGAGCCAGGUCCUUCCGUAAAGAUUCCUGGAACUCAGGCCGAAUCUCCUUGACUUUCCCCAGGGCCACCAGGUCGGGGGCGCCAGGCUGAAUGGAUGGCCUGGCGAGGGCCGGAAACUCGGGCAGCAGGAGGCUCCCUCUAGGGGGGAGUUCCUGGAGGCUCCCUCUGGGGUGGAGUUCCUGGAAUUCAGGCCCAAUCUCCUUGACUUUCUCUGGGGCUACCAGAUCGGGGGCUCCAGGCUGAAUGGAUGGCCUGGCGAGGGCUGGAAACUCAGGCAACAGGAGGCUCCCUCUGGGGCGGAGUUCCUGGAAGCUCUCUCUGGGGCGGAGUUCCUGGAACUCAGGCCCAAUCUCCUUGACUUUCCCUGGGGCUACCAGAUCGGGGGCUCCAGGCUGAAUGGAUGGCCUGGCGAGGGCAGGAAACUCGGGUAGCAGGAGGCUCCCUCUGGGGCGGAGUUCCUGGAAGCUCUCUCUGGGGCGGAGUUCCUCUCUAGGGUAGUCUGUCUGUGGGGGGAUUACUUCCACUGUGGGCAUGCCAUAGGCAACAGACGUAGAGACUACUUGGGGAGCCUUUAGGGACUCCAAUUGCGAGGCAAGGGUCUCCAGAUGGGCCGUUUCCACCCACUCCAUCUGCUUCAGUGGGGAUGUCUGCUCCAGCAGCCAGCAAAGGCUGUCCAUGGUUUUUUUGGUGAUUGUCCCUUUUUGGCGAAGCUUCCGCAGGGCAUUCUGUAAUCGGUCCCAGCCUCCUCUAGGGAGCUUGUGCAUGAAUUCACUGUAUGUAGGAGGCAAGCUUCUAUCCCGUCGGGCCAUGGCCCCCUUGAAGGCCCUGAUACUCUGAUGAAUCCGCAGAAACCACCUCCAGCGUUCUUGGGCUGACUUUUUUGGGGAAGCCACAGUGUCCGGUCCCAUGACUUCCCAGGUGGGACUCUCUGGACGCCCUUCAGAUGGAGUUGGGGUUGGGGUUGGGGCAACUGGCUCCUUUGGCGUGAGUGGAAACCUCUGGGCGGUGGGGAGGGGUGGAGGUCUGGGCUUGUACUUGGAUUUGGCCAAAGACAAUAACUUCUCCUCUUGAGAAUCACUGGGCAUGGGGGAGAUCACAGCUUGCUUACGUCUAAGUUCUGAAGUAGAUUCCAGGUAAGGCUUUUGGGGACGAAAUGAUUUCCCUUCAAUUUUCAACUCGACCUGUUUCAUAUCAUCUUUCCUCGGUAUCAUGGCAGGCUUCAGAUCUACCUUUUGAACAUCAAGGUCCUUUGGCUGGACCAGUCCCGCAGGGGAAAUGAUCUUCUCUGCAGGCUCUCUUACCCUUUCCACACCAAGGCCCCUUAACUGGAUCAAUCCCUCAGGGGAAAUGACCGUCCCUGCAGGCUCUCCCACCCUUUCCACACCAAGCUCCCUUGGUUGGACCAAUCCCUCAGGGGAAAUGAUCUUUUCAGGAGGCUCUCCCACCCUUUCAACACCAAGCUCCCUUGGUUGGACCAAUCCCUCAGGGGAAAUGAUCUUUCCAGGAGGCUCUCCCACCCUUUCAACACCAAGCUCCCUUGGUUGGACCAAUCCCUCAGGGGAAAUGAUCUUUCCUGGAGGCUCUCCCACCCUUUCAACACCAAGCUCCCUUGGUUGGACCAAUCCCUCAGGGGAAAUGAUCUUUCCAGGAGGCUCUCCCACCCUUUCAACACCAAGCUCCCUUGGUUGGACCAAUCCCUCAGGGGAAAUGAUCUUUCCAGGAGGCUCUCCCACCCUUUCAACACCAAGCUCCCUUGGUUGGACCAAUCCCUCAGGGGAAAUGAUCUUUCCUACAGGCUCUCCCAUCCUUUCAACACCAAGGUCCUUUGGUUGGACCAGUCCCUCAGAGGAAAUGAUCUUUCCUGGAGGCUCUCCCACCCUUUCAACACCAAGCUCCCUUGGUUGGACCAAUCCCUCAGGGGAAAUGAUUUUCAGGAGGCUCUCCCACCCUUUCCACACCAAGGUCCCUUGGCUGGACCAAUCCUUCAGGGGAAAUGAUCUUUCCAGGAGGCUCUCCCACCCUUUCAACACCAAGCUCCCUUGGUUGGACCAAUCCCUCAGGAAAUAACCUUUCUCAUGGUUCUCCACCCUUUCCACCAGGUCCCUUGGCUGGACCAGCCUCAGGAAAUGAGUCUCCCACAGGCUCUCCACCCUUUCACCACCAAG
rnacentral:lncRNA from 1 species